CCCUUAGAUGUUCUGGGCCGCACGCGUGCUACACUGGUGAAUACAGCGAGUCUUAACCUUAACCGAAAUGGUUUGGGUAAUCUUGUGAAAGUUCAUCGUGACAGGGAUUGAUCAUUGCAAUUAUUGAUCAUGAACGAGGAAUUCCUAGUAAAGGCGAGUCAUCAUCUCGCUUUGAUUACGUCCCUGCCCUUUGUACACACCGCCCGUCGCUACUACCGAUUGAAUACUCAGGUGAGCCAUUCGGACCUUCAUCAUGCUGGUUUCCAGUUUUGAUGAAGGAAAGUCUUGCGAACCUUAUCAUUUAGAGGAAGGAGAAGUCGUAACA
rnacentral:rRNA from 1 species